AGUAGAACGCUGAAGAGAGGAGCUUGCUCUUCUUGGAUGAGUUGCGAACGGGUGAGUAACGCGUAGGUAACCUGCCUUGUAGCGGGGGAUAACUAUUGGAAACGAUAGCUAAUACCGCAUAACAAUGGAUGACACAUGUCAUUUAUUUGAAAGGGGCAAUUGCUCCACUACAAGAUGGACCUGCGUUGUAUUAGCUAGUAGGUGAGGUAACGGCUCACCUAGGCGACGAUACAUAGCCGACCUGAGAGGGUGAUCGGCCACACUGGGACUGAGACACGGCCCAGACUCCUACGGGAGGCAGCAGUAGGGAAUCUUCGGCAAUGGGGGCAACCCUGACCGAGCAACGCCGCGUGAGUGAAGAAGGUUUUCGGAUCGUAAAGCUCUGUUGUAAGUCAAGAACGAGUGUGAGAGUGGAAAGUUCACACUGUGACGGUAGCUUACCAGAAAGGGACGGCUAACUACGUGCCAGCAGCCGCGGUAAUACGUAGGUCCCGAGCGUUGUCCGGAUUUAUUGGGCGUAAAGCGAGCGCAGGCGGUUUGAUAAGUCUGAAGUUAAAGGCUGUGGCUCAACCAUAGUUCGCUUUGGAAACUGUCAAACUUGAGUGCAGAAGGGGAGAGUGGAAUUCCAUGUGUAGCGGUGAAAUGCGUAGAUAUAUGGAGGAACACCGGUGGCGAAAGCGGCUCUCUG
rnacentral:rRNA from 1 species